UCUACGGGAGGCAGCAGUGAGGAAUAUUGGUCAAUGGGCGCGAGCCUGAACCAGCCAAGUAGCGUGAAGGAUGACUGCCCUACGGGUUGUAAACUUCUUUUAUAAAGGAAUAUAGUGAGUCACGUGUGCCUUUUUGUAUGUACUUUAUGAAUAAGGAUAGGCUAACUCCGUGCCAGCAGCCGCGGUAAUACGGAGGAACCGAGCGUUCUCCGGAUGUAUUGGGGUUAAAGGGAGCGGAGAUGGGUUGUUAAGUCAGGUGUGAAAGUUUGCGGCUCAACCGUAAAAUUGCAAUUGAUACUGGAAGUCUUGAGUACAGUUGAGGUAGGCGGAAUUCGUGGUGUAGCGGUGAAAUGAUUAGAUAUCACGAAGAACGCCGAUUGCGAAGGCAGCUUACUAAACUGCCACUGACAUUGAUGCUCGAAAGUGUGGGUAUCAAACAGGAUUAGAUACCCCGGUAGUC
rnacentral:rRNA from 1 species